GUGUGUCAGAGUGAAUGUGUGUUCUCACGGGUCGGAGGAGUAAAGGGUGCUGAGAAAUCUCUGCUGAUAUCGGAGUGCAUCUGAGACCAGUCAGUAAAAAAACGAGGCCUCUUUUGUGACUGGACGAUGAUUAGAGCCUCAAAUCACCCAACUCCCCACCCACAAGCACGCUCGUCUCAACCAGAGGUCAACUCAUCCGGGUUGACCUCUGGAUUCUGA
rnacentral:snoRNA from 1 species